UAUAUGUUUGGUUAGGCGUUGGAAAAUUGUAAACGCGCUUUUAACAGUCCAAACGUGAGUUUUUUCUUUUUCAAUGGUGUUUGGGUGAUUGGUGUAAAAUCAAUUCCAAGGACCCAAACGCGAUUCAAAGUGAAGCUAAUAUUCCUAGCUUAUGCGUUAUGGUAAAUCAAUUCUGGUUGGUGUGUCAUUAAAUACAUACAAAUAUUCCUUUAUUGCCCUUCUUCUUCCUGCUUCAUUGUUCUU
rnacentral:lncRNA from 1 species